UGAGGCUGCCCUCGUAGGUGACGUAGUCGCGGUCGCUGGGCAGCAGCUCACCCAGCUUGAUGGUGGUGCCCGCCGGCAGGUUGGUGAAGGUGCCCUCGCGCGUGGGCAUGUUCGCAAAGAUGGCUGCAGAGGACGGGUCGAUGAAGUGUGGAGAUCAGUCAACGUGCAAACGAGCAUGUAAGGGCACAACAGAGGAUGAAAUAGAGGCACUGGAUCAGGCACCUCCUGAGAAGCGCUCAGCGGUCCUCCUGAGAAGCGCUCAUAAGGCAUGCACGUGCGUACCGAUUCCACACAAACUGUGACAGCUUCGCACAAACCCGCCCCCGCCCCGCCUCCACCGCCCCGCCUCUGCUGCCCGACUCACGCUCAAGCAGCUCGUUAUCGGGGCCGUUGUCGAGCUGGAACAGGAUGCCGGUGACGCUGAAGCAGCCGCCCUUGCAGGCCUCUAGCUUGUCAGUCACCUUGUGCACAAUGUGCAACUCAAGAGGAAAGAUCUUGCCUGCAGGCGGUAGACGUAACGAAGGAGGACACCAGCGGAUGUUUUAUGACACGCGGAAGGCAGGUGCUUGCUUGAUACCUGGUGGGACCUUAUCGCUUUAUGGGAGCCGAAUGCUUGAAACACCCCUCCCAACACCUGGCCCUGUCAGAAGUCACGAGUUACGACCACGCCCACGCACCCGCCAGCAGGUGCUCCGAGGUGGAGUGGAAGUGGAACUGGGUGGGCACGGCAGUCACGCGGUCGGAGGCGUCGUUGGGGCGCAUCUCCAGCACGUCCACGAUGCGGUUGCUCUGGUUGCGCAUGGCUGCGAGCACGUGGGAGGACGGGCAUGGGGGGCGAGAAGAGGUCAAGACGGUACGUGGAUAUGCCUAUCUGGGAAGCACUAACACUUGUAAGCAUCAAGGACCGAUGUCGUCAUGGGAAGAAAAGGGGCCAGUGAUUGCGGAUUGGGUUGUCGACAGGGCCUGCACUGGCGUAAUGCGGUAGAUGCAGCACCAGCUGACGCACCAGGGAUGGCGAUGGUGGCAUGGCCGGCGUAGUCGUAGGUCCACUGCACCUGGAUGGUGUGGCCUGAGAGCAGGAUGGAGUGGCGGGAUGGAGGCAGGCAGGCAAAAUGCUUCAGUCAGGUUUAGCGGAAACACCACGUGCUUGCAUGGAUUGGGUCUGGUGCUUGAAUCCUUGACACAACAGACCCCAAGCGCCGUGGUGUCUCAGCUACCGCACAAGGCGGGGUGACCAAGCGUGCUCGCACUCCACGCUACCGGCUUGUGGACUGCGUCCCUUUUGUAGCAAAUGCAACUAAACGGCUUGGCGCCAUGAAUCCUUUCUGUGCGGUCCGCCGCGUUGCAAAAGCCCACCGGCCACCUUGCCGUCUCUCUCGCACCGUUGUUGAUGACUUGAACCGAGCUGCCGUUGGACAUCAGGUCAGGGUACGACCACUGCAGUAUUAAUAAGGCAGGGAAAGAGAAUGGAGAGUAACGGGGCCUUAAAAACCCGCUGUCAAUCUGGCUGGCGUUGCGGCACAAAACCGGCCGUUGAUCGCAAUCAGGAGGUUCGCACCAGCAAAACCGGGCCACCCAACCAUGGAAACCCUGAUGCCUCCCAUGUUAGGAUGCUUGAAACCAUUGCCCCUGCUCCAGUCUACGCGCAAGCACGCUUCGGGGCGCAAGCCAGGCGGUUAAGUUGGAUGGCGCCGUGACAGGCACACACCCUCGCACACGCGGCGCAAGGCGGCGCACUACGCUGGCCUGUUGUGUCAUGCUGGCUACUCACCUGGGUCUGCAGGCCGGUGGCAAUCUUGGAACCCUUCCCGUCCAGGACAUGGUACUGGGGCACGUUGAUGGGCGACUGCGCGUGCGGUUGCGGGGGAGGAAGGGGCGGGAGCGAAUUCGAGGGCAACCUCCCAGAAAGUUCACGUGACAAUGCCCAGUCGGCAGAAACUCUCAACAUGUAUUGUUACGGACCUGCUUGCGGCCAGUCUUGCAGACCCAGGGGUUGCCCGCGCCGUCCUUGCCCUCCCUGCGUGCGAUGGCGAAAAAAGUCCGUUUGGUCUCUCAUGGCCUCGCCGCGAUCCCGCGCAACCAACGCAAGCGCCUAGCGCCGCACUAAUAAUUCAGGGGUGCAAAGCAGUGGGUGCCGGACGGCGGCCACAAGUCACUCCAUUCAUGUGAGCAGGCCAGGUCCUUACCAGUUCUCGCCAUUGAGACUAUGAUCCCAGUGGUCGCCUGUGUGAGUGGCCUGUCAAACAAAAGCGAGGGCGCAAGCGGCGGUCAGGACUCACCCAAGCAACGGGCAUGCCUGCCCGAAGCUGCGCAGAAUGCCGACUAGUAGUAAUACCCAUGGAUAUGACUUCAUUUGCAGCCGGAAACGAGCAGUUGAAUGCUCAGUGACGCAGUCGCGGUGAGACAUUCACGUUUAUGCCAAACGGCAACCAGGGGCCAAAACAACAUCCUCGUUCCAACUCGCACUUGAUCAUUGCGAGACAUGCAGCUUCGGACGUGCGCACCUUGGAGUCCGGCGACGUGCCGAACUUGUAGAUGCAAGCCUGCGCGCAGCCCGCAAGCGCCAGCGCGGCCAGGAGUAGAGCGCCAGUACGCGCCAUGGUGUUCAAUUGAUCAAUUGUAGUAACAAACUAUCCCAAAUUGCCCUACGAAGCAUGCUUUUAUCGCGCCGAAAAGCGUGGCAUCAAGCCGUACUUUCAUCGUCAGCGCGCCAGGAUUGCCAGCCAGCAAGCUUUACAACAGACAUAUAUACAAACCAGUUGUUUGUCGCGGACGUGGGCGAGCCGCUGCAUCUGAAGCCGCGCCGCUCUGCAGCUUGGAGCGGGCCGUUGUCUGCCAUCAGAUUGCAUGAGUCACACGAGGAAGUUUCAUGUGAGCGCCUGUCGGGCUCCGUGCGUUUGGGCUUCGACUCGCUGCAUGUCUGCGCCUUGCCCCCGCCUCCAGCUGUCUCCAGCCCCCCUCCCCCCGGCCCCCGCUCCCCUGGAGCUCCCCUUUCGGCAAUAACCAUGGCUGGCCUCGGACGACGACUGUCAGCCUUGCUCUGCGGUUGCCUCUGGUGCUCAUCCGUGGAUGCUGGUCACCUUCCUGCAGGUGCGCUGCGACUCUGCUUACUUCACGAGUGGGGCGUUGCGAUGCGUAUGUCUGGUGCUAUCGCCUGGUUGGGCGCCCAAAGCGUGAGGAAUGCGCGUCAGCAAACUUCCAGCCAGCCAGCAACUUGUCGGUACAGUAAGCCCAGCGUUCGGCCAGCCGCGCGCUCAUGCAAAUUGUUUACCAUCUGCUGGGUCUGGGAAAUCAGCUGCACCCUACAUGACUUCACCAACCUGGCUUAACACCGUCCCAUCGCACACGCUUUCGGCAACAAGCAUAUCCGCAUGGCCAGAGGCUGCCGUUCACAUUCCCACUGCUUGAUCUUGCCGUGUGAUGUGACAUUACUUGACGGGACUGUGGCGGGUGCUCCCAUCAAAACCCGUGCCGAGAGCCCUAAGCAGUUUAUGGCUAGUCACCAAGUCCUCUUACCGGAGUUGCUGCGACAGGGACAGUCCGACCACCAAAAGUGCGUCAUUGAGGCAGAACGAAAAGCGUGAACACAAGCAGCGACAGCAGCUCCUUGUACCGUUGACAUAACGGCGUGCCAGGCGUCGCGGCAAUCCACGGCCCAAAGCUCGGGACACACAGUGUGUGGCGUUGCGGUGUGUGUGUGUGUGUGUGUGUGUGUGUGUGUGUGUGUGUGUGUGUGUGUGUGUGUGUAUGUGUGUGUGUGUGUGUGUGUGUGUGUGUGUGUGUGUGUGUGUGUGUGUGUGUGUGUGUGUUGCUAUCCCCUGGCGAUGAGGUAGACACUUGCGGCCUCAGACGGGAGGCGUGACUUGUGCCCACUUUUGGGGCGCAGCCCACGUUUUCCCUUUGCGAGGGACACCCAGGGCCUUUUUUGUCCAUGGGCAUCUUACAUGUCGUACACGUCUCUGCCUCAACUGCACCGUUGUAGCUACCUCGCUCCCCACAUCCUGCACGUCUUAAAACAUCCGGUCAGCGUCUCCUGUCCUCCAUCUCCAAGAAAACAAUGCUUCACAUUCGACAUGGCUAUGGGAUUGCCCAGCCAGGCCUUGCAGCUACUGGAGAGCAACUGCAUUGAUCGGCAUGUGCGACGGCGCGCAUGAGGCCAGCCCGCCAACAACCCAGCCAGCCAGACAGAGGCCGGACCGUGCAUGCUGGCAACCAUACCGUGCUGAAGCGCCCCACACCAGCCUUAUAUAACUUGCAUAAGUACGGAUCACUCAUCGAGGAGAACCGGUGCCUCCCCUGUACGCAAAUGUCUCGCGUGCAGACACUCUCGAUUGCUGUCGAAGUUCCCGUUAUUACCCGCGUACGCCCUCUACGUACGUAUUACUUGCCUCACUACCAUCCAUCGCCACAACGUCCGGCCCACUGACUUUAUUCCGCUCUCAGACUGCCCCAUCGUGGAACCAACUCCAUACCUUCCUUACUUCUUUACUAGUCAGGAGAAAACAGGAGGUCCCGCCGCCCGUCCGGUACUGUGUGUAUGCGUGCUGCACCGCAGAACUAUUUCGGUGUACUAUGGAAAAAAUUGGAAAGGCCCGCCAAGCGCGGGUCGUCAAGAACACCAUCGAAUGACACACCAAACCGUGAAGCAAAGCCUGGAAAAUGGAAUGCCUGCUGGCCGUGCCGACGGUGGUAGCGUGACUAACUACUGGGAAGUUUAGUGAUAGCGGGCCAGCUUGAUGGUGCGGCCGUUGGCGUACUGGGGGUUGCGGAAGUUCUGGCCAAAGGCAACGGCCUUGCAGGUGUCUGUCGCAUUGGGGGGGAGGCAAAGAGGGAGGCAAUAAGGUCGGGGUUAGGGGGCGUUACAAAAGAAACACGGCGCGCAGGCGCGCAGGCACACGCAGGAGUGGACGACCACGUGCACGGACUUGCUUGGCAGCAGCUCGGACCGACUAUUGGGCAGACGCAAUCCAAUGGAACUCAGCACGCAUGACUCGGUGUCUCCCCUUGGGGGAGCCUUUGGGAUACCGCGCCCUCGCCCAGCUUCUAGGGUACAAUGCAUGCCGGUACUCCCUUUUUACCACUCUCAGGUAAACUCACAGGCAUCGGGGUUCGCGGACUCGGCCAGCAUCACGCGGCGGAAGUAGUGCUUGGGCUCGGAGGUGGCGGCAGGCACCUCCUCCAGGUGCGCGUGGUUGUGCAGCAGGCGGCGGUGGUGGUGGUGGUGGCCGGCGUCCGCGGCGGUCUGCACGCGUGGUAAAUGAACAUGGGCAGCACAUAGGCGUGCGUGACAGGAGCACUGACCAGUGACGCAGAUUUGACCCGGCAGCCGCCACCGUCACCCGACACCUCGCUCUUCUUGCCCGUUCCCAGGACUCCCCCGUUUGUAGGGGCGUCUUACCUCCGUGGAGUUGCACUCCUUCAGGCCCACAGCCAGGCGGUAGCGGUUCCACUGGCCGAAGCUGAUGCGCUGCGGCUGGGUCAUGACGUGCCACAGCAGGCCCUCGCUGCAGGGCGGGGUGGUGAGGCUGCCCUCGUACGUUACGUAGUCGCGGUCGCUGGGCAGCAGCUCACCCAGCUUGAUGGUGGUGCCCGCCGGCAGGUUGCUGAAGGUGCCCUCGCGCGAGGGCAUGUUCGCAAAGAUGGCUGCAGAGGACGGGCCGAUGAAGUGUGGCGAUCAGUAAACGUGCAAACGAGCAUGUAAGGGCACAACAGAGGAUGAAAUAGAGGCACUGGAUGAGGCACCUCCUGAGAAGCGCUCAGCGGUCUGCCAUGCACGUACGUACCAAAUCCACACAAACCGUGACAGCUUCGUACAAACCCGCCCCCGC
rnacentral:lncRNA from 1 species